rnacentral:tRNA from 1 species
GCCCAGGUCAAGACCAUGCCUAGAUCGGUUUCCUAAACCGUGUGUCGCAGGUUCGAAUCCUGCCGGGGGCA